GGAGGUGGGGGAGGUGGGGGACGUAACUCUCGGCAGCUUGCUCAGUUACCUCUCCUGUUGAAGCUGUGCCUUGGGCCUCAGAACGCAAGCCUGGUGGAAUUCUGACCUUCUAGAGGACGUCGUUCCCUCGCUGAGGCUGCCUGCUUAGAGCCGAGAUGUGUCCUUCUCGAGAAUCCUCUGCAAUCAUACUGUGGAAUAGCAUUUGAAGAAUCAUAAUACGUUUGACCUGGAAGAGAAGUGAGAAGUGAUCUAGGACGUGCCAUUCACGCCCAUCAAUGAGGAAACUCUUUCAUAGGAAAAGGAAGUGAUUUGUCCAAGCUCACCUGAGUAUUUAGUGGCAGAGCUGGGACCAGGCUCCACAUUCUUCAGCUCUCGUGAUUUUCCCCUGCACUCCACUGUCAUCAAAUCUUUGCCUGUGAUCUUAGGGAUUUCUGUCCCUUCCCUUGACCACACACCUGGCACCGUGUAAUAGGCCUCUCCUGCAGGGAUAGAUCUGCUUAGAGCUGAUGAGAAUGUUUUGUGAGCAUCUGGCCCCCAAAGAGAGCGAGAGAGAGAGAUGAAACUGAAGAUGCUUACCUCAGCUUAAAUUGACCAAUCAGGAGAAAAACGUGCCAGAGGCUCUAAAGAAUAAGAAACGCUGUCAUCUUGGAGUUAACUUCAGUGAAGCCCAGCUUCAGUCAGCCAAACCCCAGCUGACCUGUGAAUAUCUAUCAUCACUCUGAGAAAUUAAGCAACCAAAAUACAUGAAUCGGUGCUGAAAGUAUGGAAAUAUGAGAUUUGAUGUGCUCUCAAGCUACUGGGGGCAGGGGAAGCAAUAUACAAGCUAACCAACAAGACGAAGUGGCACACCUUUAGUCUGAGAGUGCCCCAGCUUAAUAGAGAGAAUCUUGAGAUCCCAGAGGAGGGUCCAGCCACGAGGUAGAAGGAUUCUCGGUCCCCAAAGAACUGCAUGGAGCAGAGCUCCCCCCACCUAACCCAAAUCACAUUGGAUUGUGAGUUGUCUCUAGAAUACAGACAAGCAGAGAGUUUCGGCUCCCAGAAAGCUCUUCUCUGUUUUCCUUGAUGAUGACUGAUGUUGGAAAUGAGAUGCCUAGACAUGGCAAAGCCACAAAGUGCCUUCUGAAUCACCCAUGGACCCAGCCUUGAAUGCACUGUAAGAUGCUCUAAUUCUUGGAGAGCCUGCCGCCUUUGACAGGGUAUGUUGUAUCUGCGAAGGAGAAGAGAAAGAUUUAUUUCUCCUGAGAAGAUAAAAUAAAGCUUCGUGGAGGAGGAAGUAUUUGUGCUGGGCUGUGAAGAUUUGGUGUGAUUCAGGUGUGUAAAAAAGGCAGAGAUGGAGUGGGAAGGAGAAACAGCCUGAGCAAAGGCGUGGAGGUGUUUAAGUAUUCAGUAUGUACAAGGAAUGACCGAUUAUUAAGUUUGAUGGGAGCAUA